UGUAGCUGUGUCACAUGAUCCAUUGAGAUGCUGCAGAGGGAGGGCUAUGCAAACCGCUCAUCUUCAUAAACACAUCAGGAACUUGUGGCAGCACUCGGACAGUUUCAGGCAUCUUUAAUAAACAGAGAUUACAGAGCUCUGAACUACAGAAUGGACAUCACUGUUAUCUGGAGUUUAUUACUCGUUGUUGCUGUUCAUGGAGUUUGGAGUGAGAUCAAACUGGAGCAGACUCCCUCUGAGGUGAAACGAGCUGGAGAGACCGUGAGGAUGUCAUGUGUCAUAUCUGGGUUUGACAUGACGAGCUACUAUAUCCACUGGAUACGACAGAGACCAGGGAGAGCUCUGGAGUGGAUUGGGAGGAUGAACACAGGUUCAAACUCUGCUAGCUAUGCCAGCUCCUUCCAGAGUCGUUUCCCCAUGACUGAAGAUGUGCCCAGCAGCACUCAGUACCUCCAGGUUCAGAGCCUGACAGCUGAAGACUCUGCUGUUUACUACUGCGCUCGAAGAGACACAGUGAGUGAGGACAGCGGAGCAGCUGCACAAAAACCUCCACAGACCAGCAGCUGUGGGAUCUGAAAGACACCUGCUGUGUUUGUCUGCUAUCAUCUUUUCAAAAAGGUCAUCUGAUGUCAUGGAGCGUAGAAACAAGACUCAGAGAAACUCACACUUUAACCUGAGCAGGCUCUGGACCCGACUCUCAGAGGGUUCAAGUUUUCAAUCCUCAGAGACAAAGCAGACCACAUUUCCAAAAGAAGACAUUUAAAGUGAUUCAAACAUGAACAUCAUUUCCUGUUUCACCAACAUCUGCAUCCAUUUCAAACUGUAAUGUCCUCCAUGAAACAUGCUGUUUGAUAAAGUAAUAAAAGAAGGUCA